UUAAAAAUAGCAAUAAGAAAAAUAAUGCAAACAAAUCACCGUUAAAUUUUGCUUUUUACUUACUUUUUUUUUUCUUUGUCCUUCUUCUUCUUUCUUU
rnacentral:ribozyme from 1 species